GGCCAGACUCCUACGGGAGGCAGCAGUGGGGAAUCUUGCGCAAUGGGCGGAAGCCUGACGCAGCGACGCCGCGUGUGGGACGAAGGCCUUCGGGUCGUAAACCGCUUUCAGCAGGGACGAGGCCCUCACGGUGACGGUACCUGCAGAAGAGGCCCCGGCUAACUACGUGCCAGCGGCCGCGGUAAUACGGAGGAUGCGAGCGUUAUCCGGAUUUAUUGGGUUUAAAGGGUGCGUAGGCGGAAUGCCAAGUCAGCGGUAAAAUCGCGGGGCUCAACCUCGCUCCGCCGUUGAAACUGGCGUUCUUGAGUGGGCGAGAAGUAUGCGGAAUGCGUGGUGUAGCGGUGAAAUGCAUAGAUAUCACGCAGAACUCCGAUUGCGAAGGCAGCAUACCGGCGCCCAACUGACGCUGAAGCACGAAAGCGUGGGUAUCGAACAGGAUUAGAUACCCUAGUA
rnacentral:rRNA from 1 species